AGCCACUAGCCAGGGGUGUGUUGACUUCAUAUCUACAUAUUUAAUGAAGCUUUAGGACAUGGAUCUAAAAGGUAACCACAUUGGUGAAGUUCUCAGAUGAAGAUUUCUACAUGCCAAAAGGCAAAAGAUGGAGUAAGCAGCUGAAGUAGUGAAAAGAAGCAUUCAUUUCUCAGGGUCUUCUAUGCGAGACAAACACGACCUUGAUACAUAGGUUUUAGACUCGAUUGCAAGCAUGUGACUUCACACUAUCUUUCUCACUCGAGAAAGAGUGCUUCCCUAAGUCCUGGGUCGUGAUCUCAGUUUCGUUGUCAUUUUUUCUCUAUUUGUGUUGGCAUGUUCCA